rnacentral:rRNA from 1 species
UACGUAGGGUGCAAGCGUUAAUCGGAAUUACUGGGCGUAAAGCGUGCGCAGGCGGUUUUGUAAGCCUGUCGUGAAAUCCCCGGGCUCAACCUGGGAAUGGCGAUGGUGACUGCAAGGCUAGAGUUUGGCAGAGGGGGGUAGAAUUCCACGUGUAGCAGUGAAAUGCGUAGAGAUGUGGAGGAACACCGAUGGCGAAGGCAGCCCCCUGGGUCAAAACUGACGCUCAUGCACGAAAGCGUGGGGAGCAAACAGG